rnacentral:rRNA from 1 species
GGAUUCCCUUAGUAGCGGCGAGCGAAGCGGGAAGAGCUCAAAUUUGUAAUCUGGCGUCUUUCAGGCGUCCGAGUUGUAAUCUAUAGAAGUGUUUUCUAUGUCGGACCGUGUCUAAGUCUCUUGGAAUAGAGUAUCAAAGAGGGUGACAAUCCCGUACUUGACAUGACUACCGAUGUUCUGUGAUACAUUUUCUACGAGUCGAGUUGUUUGGGAAUGCAGCUCUAAAUGGGUGGUAAAUUCCAUCUAAAGCUAAAUAUUGGUGAGAGACCGAUAGCGAACAAGUACCGUGAGGGAAAGAUGAAAAGCACUUUGGAAAGAGAGUUAAACAGUACGUGAAAUUGUUGAAAGGGAAACGAUUGAAGUCAGUCAUGUCUGUUGGUUUCAGCUUGCUCUGCAAGUGUAUUACCUUCAGACGGGUCAACAUCAGUUUUGGUGCGGUGGAUAAGAACGGAUUGAAGGUGGCACCCUCGGGUGUGUUAUAGCUUUCUGUUGCAUACGCUGCCUGAGACUGAGGACUGCAGCUCGCGCUCACGCGCCGCCCCUCGGGGACGUUCGAGCUUAGGAUGUUGGCAUAAUGGCUUUAAACGACCCGUCUUGAA